GUGCCAGCAGCUGCGGUAAUACGUAGGUCCCGAGCGUUGUCCGGAUUUAUUGGGCGUAAAGCGAGCGCAGGUGGUUAUUAAGUCUGGUGUAAAAGGCAGUGGCUCAACCAUUGUAUGCAUUGGAAACUGGUAGACUUGAGUGCAGGAGAGGAGAGUGGAAUUCCAUGUGUAGCGGUGAAAUGCGUAGAUAUAUGGAGGAACACCGGUGGCGAAAGCGGCUCUCUGGCCUGUAACUGACACUGAGGCUCGAAAGCGUGGGAGCAAACAGGAUUAGAUACCCUGGUAGUCCACGCCGUAAACGAUGAGUGCUAGAUGUAGGGAGCUAUAAGUUCUCUGUAUCGCAGCUAACGCAAUAAGCACUCCGCCUGGGGAGUACGACCGCAAGGUUGAAACUCAAAGGAAUUGACGGGGCCGCACAAGCGGUGGAGCAUGUGGUUUAAUUCGAAGCAAACGCGAAAGAACCUUACAAGGUCUUGACAUACUCG
rnacentral:rRNA from 1 species